GGAAGCAGGGGAUCGUAAGGCCUUGCGCUUUUGGAGCGGCCGAUGUCUGAUUAGCUAGUUGGUGGGGUAAGGGCCUACCAAGGCGACGAUCAGUAGUUGGUCUGAGAGGACGACCAGCCACACUGGGACUGAGACACGGCCCAGACUCCUACGGGAGGCAGCAGUGGGGAAUUUUGGACAAUGGGCGCAAGCCUGAUCCAGCAAUGCCGCGUGAGUGAAGAAGGCCUUCGGGUUGUAAAGCUCUUUCAGUCGAGAAGAAAAGGCUACGGUAAAUAAUCGUAGUUCAUGACGGUACCGACAGAAGAAGCACCGGCUAACUACGUGCCAGCAGCCGCGGUAAUACGUAGGGUGCGAGCGUUAAUCGGAAUUACUGGGCGUAAAGGGUGCGCAGGCGGCUUUGUAAGUCAGAUGUGAAAUCCCCGGGCUUAACCUGGGAAUUGCGUUUGAAACUACAAGGCUAGA
rnacentral:rRNA from 1 species